rnacentral:misc_RNA from 1 species
UGGAUCCUCACCACCUUCUCCUGAGUUCGACUUUCCACCCAAUCUAUUCAUUGCAAUUGCAAUAGCUUCAUGAGUUUCCCUUGAAAUAGCUCCAAGUGACAUGCCACCAGUGCAAAACCGCUGCACAAUUGCUGAAGCAGGUUCCACUCUUCCAACGGGUAUAGGCGACCGAUCACUUUUGAAUUCAAGAAGAUCUCUGAGAACGUUUACAGGUCGAUUAGCCAAAUGCUGCUGAUAUACUGAAUAUGCACUUUCACUCUUUUGGCGGACAGCUUUAUGGAGCAGUUUUGACAUCUCUGGGUUG